GAUGAACGCUGGCGGCGUGCUUAAUACAUGCAAGUCGAACGGUAAGGGCGGAGCUUGCUCUUGUGGUCGAGUGGCGAACGGGUGAGUAACACGUGGGUGACCUGCCCGGUAGCGGGGGAUAAGUAUGGGAAACGGGAGCUAAUACCGCAUGGCACGAGGUCUUGCAUGAUAACGGUGAAAGAGGGGCAGGUGCUCCAUUAGCAGACGGACCUGCGGUGUGUUAGCUAGGUGGUGGGGUACCGGCGCAACGAGGCGGAGAUGCCUAGCCGACCCGAGAGGGGGUUCGGCCCCGCUGGGACUGAGACACGGCCCAGACUCCUACGGGAGGCAGCAGUAGGGACGCUUCGGCGAUGGACGGAAGACUGACCGAGCAACGCCGCGUGAGUGAAGAAGGGUUUCGGAUCGGAAAGCUCUGUUGUAAGAGAAGACCGCGUGUGAGAGUGGAAAGUUCACACUGUGACGGUAUCUUAACAGAAAGGGCCGGCUAACUACGUG
rnacentral:rRNA from 1 species